rnacentral:rRNA from 1 species
CGUCCCCGGGCCUUGUACACACCGCCCGUCACACCACGAAAGUUGGCAACACCCGAAGCCAGUGGCCCAACCCUUUUGGGAGGGAGCUGUCGAAGGUGGGGUUAGCGAUUGGGGUG